GAUGAACGCUGGCGGCGUGCCUAAUACAUGCAAGUCGAGCGAACAGAUAAGGAGCUUGCUCCUUUGACGUUAGCGGCGGACGGGUGAGUAACACGUGGGUAACCUACCUAUAAGACUGGGAUAACUUCGGGAAACCGGAGCUAAUGCCGGAUAACAUUUGGAACCGCAUGGUUCUAAAGUGAAAGAUGGUUUUGCUAUCACUUAUAGAUGGACCCGCGCCGUAUUAGCUAGUUGGUAAGGUAACGGCUUACCAAGGCGACGAUACGUAGCCGACCUGAGAGGGUGAUCGGCCACACUGGAACUGAGACACGGUCCAGACUCCUACGGGAGGCAGCAGUAGGGAAUCUUCCGCAAUAGGCGAAAGCCUGACGGAGCAACGCCGCGUGAGUGAUGAAGGGUUUCGGCUCGUAAAACUCUGUUAUUAGGGAAGAACAAAUGUGUAAGUAACUGUGCACGUCUUGACGGUACCUAAUCAGAAAGCCACGGCUAACUACGUG
rnacentral:rRNA from 1 species